CCUACGGGUGGCAGCAGUGGGGGAUAUUGCACAAUGGGGGGAACCCUGAUGCAGCGACGCCGCGUGGGUGAAGGAGCGUUUCGGCGCGUAAAGCCCUAUCGGCAGGGAAGAAGGAGGACGGUACCUUACUCAGAAGCCUCGGCUAACGACGGCCCAGCAGCCGCGGCAAUACGUAGGGGGCAAGCGUUAGCCUGAUUUACUGGGUGUAAAGGGAGCGCAGGCGGGAGCGCAAGCCAGGUGUGAAAGCCCGGGGCCCAACCCCGGGACUGCACUGGAAACUGCGCGGCUGGAGUGCAGGAGGGGCAGGUGGAAGUCCUGGUGUAGCGGUGAAAUGCGUAGAUAUCAGGAGGAACACCGGUGGCGAAGGCGGCCUGCUGGACUGCGACUGACGUUGAGGCCCGAAAGCGUGGGGAGCAAACAGGAUUAGAUACCCGAGUAGUC
rnacentral:rRNA from 1 species